rnacentral:rRNA from 1 species
UACGGGGGGGGCAAGCGUUGUUCGGAAUUACUGGGCUUAAAGGGUGCGUAGGCGGCCAUGUAAGUGAGGUGUGAAAUCCCUCGGCUCAACCGAGGAACUGCGCUUCAUACUGCAUGGCUUGAGGGAGACAGGGGUAAGCGGAACUGAUGGUGGAGCGGUGAAAUGCGUUGAUAUCAUCAGGAACACCGGUGGCGAAAGCGGCUUACUGGGUCUCUUCUGACGCUGAGGUACGAAAGCUAGGGUAGCGAACGGG